rnacentral:hammerhead_ribozyme from 1 species
AUCCAGCUGACGAAUGUCAGAUAGGACGAAGCGCGUGUCUUGGAU